GUUGGAUGGUCAGGAUUGUUCUUCAUGGGCUCAGCUUGAUUCUUGGCCAGCUGGCCUGCCUGCUGCCCCUCACCUUCUACCCAGAGGGAAAUUCCUCACCCGCUGGACCACACCCGCUCUUGAGGACCUCGCGAGCUCUCUGGGCAGAGCGGAAGCCAGACAGAGACCGGACUCCAAGGCGACAAUCCCAGCUCUGUGUGUGCCAGGAGCCCCCAGGGGCAGGGGCCCACGCUGCAGGAGGUUAGCUGCCCCCCAACACUCAGGAGCCAGGAGUGGGCUGCAGGGACAGAGCGCUUCUCAAACGAGGAGGAGCCCCCGUGGAGUACGUGACUCCUGCCCCUCUGGCUGCACGCUCCAGUUACCAGGACAGAGACCCCUCCCCACGCGUCCCCAGCCUUCCCCUGCUUCCUGCUCUGGCUGCUGGGAGGCCCUGUCACCACACAUGAGCGAGCACGCACUCCGACACACGCGCCCCUCCCAGGCACCCCUGAGAGGACCAGCUGCAGCUGGGGGGUGCACUGAGUGCUGCCAGGUCCUCAGAUCCACAGCCUCCCCCCAUCCUCGCCCCCUACUGCUGAGCUGCUUGGAGGUUUAAAGCAAAACAUGACUGUCUUUCCUGCUGCUCAGUGGCAGCGGCGCUGCCUGAGGGUUAUUUUUAGCAGGGAUGCGAGGAAGGCACAUUUCUCCUUGACUUUCACCAGGGACAACCCUCACCCCCCAGCCAAGACUCGCCUGGGGAGGCAGGUUCGGAAACCCCACUCCCAGGAAGGGGAAACUGGUGGGUUUUCUGUUCUUUCAAUUCAUCAGGCCUUGAAGUCAAGCUAGGGGCUGCUCUGAUGGGAAAUUCUAGGUUCCAAAGCCCAUGGUUUCCCCCGCCAUCCCUGGUCUCUGUGUCGCUACAAAUUUGAGGAGCAAGAGGUACGUUGUGUCUAGAGGCAGGUCGCCCAGGCUGCGGGUGUUGGGGUCCUGGGGCAGCCGCGUGGUUACAGCCAGGCACUAUAGAUUGCAUGCAGUGCCCGGCUUUGUGGGGGAGCGGUUCUCACAGAUGCUGGCUUGUUAAUUCAUUAAACUGCCUGUCUGGC
rnacentral:lncRNA from 1 species